rnacentral:rRNA from 1 species
AGCGAACGCUGGCGGCAGGCCUAACACAUGCAAGUCGAACGAACUCUUCGGAGUUAGUGGCGGACGGGUGAGUAACACGUGGGAACGUGCCUUUAGGUUCGGAAUAACUCAGGGAAACUUGUGCUAAUACCGAAUGUGCCCUUCGGGGGAAAGAUUUAUCGCCUUUAGAGCGGCCCGCGUCUGAUUAGCUAGUUGGUUGGGGUAAUGGCCCACCAAGGCGGCGAUCAGUAGCUGGUCUGAGAGGAUGACCAGCCACAUUGGGACUGAGACACGGCCCAAACUCCUACGGGAGGCGGCAGUGGGGAAUCUUGCGCAAUGGGCGAAAGCCUGACGCAGCCAUGCCGCGUGUAUGAUGAAGGUCUUAGGAUUGUAAAAUCCUUUCACCGGUGAAGAUAAUGACUGUAGCCGGAGAAGAAGCCCCGGCUAACUUCGUGCCAGCAGCCGCGGUAAAAC